rnacentral:rRNA from 1 species
GACGAACGCUGGCGGCGUGCUUAACACAUGCAAGUCGAACGAAGUGGCGCACGGGUGAGUAACGCGUAAACACCCUGCCCUUCAGUGGGGGACAACAGUUGGAAACGACUGCUAAUACCGCAUACUGACGGUGGGGAUUGCGGCUGAUUAGCUAUGUGGAGGGGUAACGGACCGCCAAGGCGAAGAUCAGUAGCCGGACUGGGAGGAUGAACGGCCCACAUGGGACUUGGGCAACGGCCAGACUCCCACGGGGGGGAGCAGUGGGGGAUCUUCCGCAAUGGGGGAAAGUCCGACGGGGCAAAGCCGCGUGAGGGAUGAAGGCCUUCGGGUUGGAAAGAUCUGGUAAUCGGGGCGCGGUACCGGAAUAGAAAGCCACGGCUAACUACGUGCCAGCCGCCGCGGUAAUAC